rnacentral:rRNA from 1 species
UACGUAGGGUGCGAGCGUUAAUCGGAAUUACUGGGCGUAAAGUGUGCGCAGGCGGCCGCGCAAGUCGAGUGUGAAAGCCCCGGGCUUAACUUGGGAAUUGCGCUCGAAACUACGUGGCUGGAGUGUGGCAGAGGAAGGUGGAAUUCCAGGUGUAGCGGUGAAAUGCGUAGAUAUCGGGAGGAACACCAGUGGCGAAGGCGACUACCUGGCCUGUUCUUGACGCUGAGGCGCGAAAGCUAGGGGAGCAAACGGGG